CACGCAUGACACACUGCAUAUCAAUAAGCGGAGGAAAAGAAACUAACAAGGAUUCCCUUAGUAACGGCGAGUGAAGCGGGAAGAGCUCAAAUUUGAAAUCUUCAAGGUUUUACCUUGACGAAUUGUAGUUUAAAGAAGUGUUUUCUGUUGGAGUUUUGGUAAAAGUUCUUUGGAAUAGGACAUCAUAGAGGGUGAGAAUCCCGUAUUUGACCAUUAUUUCCAGCUGUGUGAUACACUUUCAAAGAGUCGGAUUGUUUGGGAAUGCAGUCCAAAAUGGGUGGUAAAUUUCAUCUAAAGCUAAAUAUUGGCGAGAGACCGAUAGCGAACAAGUACCGUGAGGGAAAGAUGAAAAGAACUUUGAAAAGAGAGUUAAACAGUACGUGAAAUUGUCAAAAGGGAAGCGUUUGACACCAGUGUUGUUUUUCCGAAAAUCAAUUACGAAUGUUUUAUUUUUGAGAAGUUAUGACUUCAUCGGCUUGCUUCUCUCUUUAUGAAACUUUCUUAAUGCACUUUUCGGUUAACAAGUCAACAUCAAUUUCUUUUGUUGUAAAAGGGUAUGAGGAAGGUGGCUUUCUUUUCGGAGAAAGUGUUUAUAGCCUUGUACCUCUGCAAUCGGAGAGAUUGAGGUCUGCAGCGUAGAUCCUUCGGGGUUAGAUACAUUUGUGCUAAGUUAUAGCUUUUCAUAGACAACUUGUUGACUAUGUUUAGUCUUGUAGCUUACUCGCUUAUGCUAUUUUACCUACGCUUAGGAUGUUGAAGACUCUACAGAGAUA
rnacentral:rRNA from 1 species